GCGGGCGUGGCCAAGCGGCUAAGGCAAGAGGCUGCAACCCUCUGAUCAUGGGUUCGAGUUUCCCAUCGCCCGCU
rnacentral:tRNA from 1 species